UGCGCAGGCGGCUCCUUAAGUCAGAUGUGAAAUCCCCGGGCUUAACCUGGGAACUGCGUUUGAAACUGGGGAGCUGGAGUGUAGAAGAGGGGGGUGGAAUUCCAGGUGUAGCAGUGAAAUGCGUAGAGAUCUGGAGGAACACCGAUGGCGAAGGCAGCCCCCUGGGCUAACACUGACGCUCAUGCACGAAAGCGUGGGAGCAAACA
rnacentral:rRNA from 1 species